CAGUAGCCGCGGUAAUACGUAGGUCCCGAGCGUUGUCCGGAUUUAUUGGGCGUAAAGCGAGCGCAGGCGGUUAGAUAAGUCUGAAGUUAAAGGCUGUGGCUUAACCAUAGUACGCUUUGGAAACUGUUUAACUUGAGUGCAGAAGGGGAGAGUGGAAUUCCAUGUGUAGCGGUGAAAUGCGUAGAUAUAUGGAGGAACACCGGUGGCGAAAGCGGCUCUCUGGUCUGUAACUGACGCUGAGGCUCGAAAGCGUGGGGAGCGAACAGGAUUAGAUACCCGUGUAGUCCCUGUCUCUUAUACA
rnacentral:rRNA from 1 species